UACAGAGGUGGCAAGCGUUGUUCGGAAUUACUGGGCGUAAAGGGCGCGUAGGCGGCCACCGCAAGUCGACUGUGAAAUCUCCGAGCUUAACUCGGAAAGGUCAACUGAAACUGUGCGACUAGAGUGCGGAAGGGGCAACUGGAAUUCUUGGUGUAGCGGUGAAAUGCGUAGAUAUCAAGAGGAACACCUGCGGCGAAGGCGGGUUGCUGGGCCGACACUGACGCUGAAGCGCGAAAGCCAGGGGAGCGAACGGG
rnacentral:rRNA from 1 species